AGUCCUUCGCCGUCCCUCGCCGUCCUUCGCCAUCGCACGCCACCGCACCCCAUCUCUCGAAAUCUGCAGACAUCUUGAUUUUUCCCACGCUGUCUGUCAGGUCUCCGCCGCCACUCGACGCCAGGGCGCCGGGAGUGUCACAUGACUGCCGCCCCAUGUGUGUGAGAGGCGUCCUCUGGGAGAGCAUGGAUCCUGAGGUCCCAGGAUUGUCAGCUGACCUCUGUCCUGUGUGCCCAGUGGCCCCAGGUGACGUGUCUUCAAGAAGAGGCUGAGCUGCGGUGCUUGUAAGGGUCUCAUUCUGUCACCCAGGCUGGAGUGCAGUGGUGCAAUGAUGGCUCACUGCAGCCUCGACCUGGGCUCAAGUGAUCCUCCACCUCAGCUUCCUGAGUAGCUGGGACCACAGAUGGGUCUGCUGUGUGCAGAGGCUCCAUGGGAUGUGUUGUCUUCAUAGUAGCAGGGCGCUGGACCAUGGGUCCGCAAGGUCUCAGCCUUAGAUCCAAGGACAGUCCAAGGAAGUCCUAAGACCAUGGAGUUGGUGAUCUGGGAUCUGGGUUUGCUGAUAUUUCUCACCGUGAAUCUCUUGGUGGUGUUUGUGGGCACGAGAGGGGCAGAGAAUGGAGAGUGAGGCUACCACAUGAAGCGUCACCAGAGCUGCUCCCUGCUGCCUGCUCAGAGCACCCCGGAUCCACUGUUCAAUCUGCACAAGAUUCGGGGUCCAGACAUGGGAGACUUCAGCUGCCUCAGAGGACCGUGGACAGGGAAGGCCAGCCUCGCAUCCCUCUGUCCAUGCCUGGAAUGACUUUAAUAACCAAGAGUUUUAUUUUUGAAUUUGUAGCUGUCGUUCACUUUUUACCCACCCAUUCAAUAAACCUUACAGAAUUGCUCCA
rnacentral:lncRNA from 1 species